GUUGUUAUUCGCGCUUUUUACACGCUAAGCUUUUUACGUUCAUUACAUUUUUGUGUGUGUGAAAAAUUCAUAGCGAGGGCAUCUGGAGCCUGAGAGCUCCAUUAACAUCCCAAGCUACAGGUGAUGCACAGGUGUGAGAGGUGGAUUUGCGAUCGGGGCGUGCACAUGCCUCCUGGAGAGGCCAGCUACAACCCCUUCUCGACAAAUAUUUCAUUAAUGAUCCUUCCGCAGGUUCACCUACGGAAA
rnacentral:misc_RNA from 1 species